rnacentral:rRNA from 1 species
UACAGAGGUCCCAAGCGUUGUUCGGAUUUACUGGGCGUAAAGGGUGCGUAGGCGGUCGGGUAAGUCUGACGUGAAAUCUCCGGGCCUAACCCGGAAACUGCGUUGGAAACUAUCAGGCUAGAGGAAUGGAGGGGAGACUGGAAUACUUGGUGUAGCAGUGAAAUGCGUAGAUAUCAAGUGGAACACCAGUGGCGAAGGCGAGUCCCUGGACGAUUUCUGACACUGAGGCACGAAAGCUAGGGGAGCAAACAGG